AUUGAACGCUGGCGGCAUGCUUUACACAUGCAAGUCGAACGGCAGCACGGGGGCGAACCCUCGGUGGCGAGUGGCGAACGGGUGAGUAAUGCAUCGGAACGUACCGUGUAAUGGGGGAGUAACGUAGCGAAAGUUACGCUAAUACCGCAUACGCCCUGAGGGGGAAAGCGGGGGAUCGUAAGACCUCGCGUUAUACGAGCGGCCGAUGUCGGAUUAGCUAGUUGGUGGGGUAAAGGCCCACCAAGGCGACGAUCCGUAGCGGGUCUGAGAGGAUGAUCCGCCACACUGGGACUGAGACACGGCCCAGACUCCUACGGGAGGCAGCAGUGGGGAAUUUUGGACAAUGGGGGCAACCCUGAUCCAGCCAUGCCGCGUGCGGGAA
rnacentral:rRNA from 1 species